rnacentral:rRNA from 1 species
GAUGAACGCUGGCGGCGUGCCUAAUACAUGCAAGUCGAGCGAACAGACGAGGAGCUUGCUCCUCUGACGUUAGCGGCGGACGGGUGAGUAACACGUGGAUAACCUACCUAUAAGACUGGGAUAACUUCGGGAAACCGGAGCUAAUACCGGAUAAUAUAUUGAACCGCAUGGUUCAAUAGUGAAAGACGGUUUUGCUGUCACUUAUUGAUGGAUCCGCGCCGCAUUAGCUAGUUGGUAAGGUAACGGCUUACCAAGGCGACGAUGCGUAGCCGACCUGAGAGGGUGAUCGGCCACACUGGAACUGAGACACGGUCCAGACUCCUAAGGGAGGCAGCAGUAGGGAAUCUUCCGCAAUGGGCGAAAGCCUGACGGAGCAACGCCGCGUGAGUGAUGAAGGUCUUCGGAUCGUAAAACUCUGUUAUUAGGGAAGAACAAAUGUGUAAGUAACUAUGCACGUCUUGACGGUACCUAAUCAGAAAGCCACGGCUAACUACGUG